GAUGAACGCUAGCGGGAGGCCUAACACAUGCAAGCCGAGCGGUAUUUGUUCUUCGGAACAGAGAGAGCGGCGCACGGGUGCGGAACACGUGUGCAACCUGCCUUUAUCUGGGGGAUAGCCUUUCGAAAGGAAGAUUAAUACCCCAUAAUAUAUUGAGUGGCAUCAUUUGAUAUUGAAAACUCCGGUGGAUAGAGAUGGGCACGCGCAAGAUUAGAUAGUUGGUGAGGUAACGGCUCACCAAGUCAAUGAUCUUUAGGGGGCCUGAGAGGGUGAUCCCCCACACUGGUACUGAGACACGGACCAGACUCCUACGGGCGGCAGCAGUGAGGAAUAUUGGACAAUGGGUUAGCGCCUGAUCCAGCCAUCCCGCGUGAAGGACGACGGCCCUAUGGGUUGUAAACUUCUUUUGUAUAGGGAUAAACCUACUCUCGUGAGAGUAGCUGAAGGUACUAUACGAAUAAGCACCGGCUAACUCCGUG
rnacentral:rRNA from 1 species